CCGGACAAAGACAGCCAAUUUUCCACAGAGAGUCACAGUGUUCAAACCAUAUAUAAAAGCGUACAGUGCGGUUUGGGUACAGUUAUUCUGUUCGAAUCUCUUGGAGCGGGCACAGUAAGCCAUCGAUGGUUCUGAAUCUUAUUGUUUUUUUUUCCAACAUUUCUUUCCUUUUUUGCCAUGAAGAGGUUCGCAUUAUCCGUUGCUCUGCUUUUGACCAUGUUGUCCUUAUCCGCCGCCCAGCAAUUCCAGUUCAGCAAGGGUUGGUCACCAGGCAAGCGAAGCGGCCUCCCGCAAACUGACGCUCCCAUUGCGGUACUGCCGACCAUAGGAAGCUCUGUAGUUGAUGCCAGUCUGUUCACCAACACGGGACUGUCAAGAGACACCGAUGAGCUUUUGGACUUGUGGGCCAUCUGGAAGCCCAAAAUCGUUGGCCUAAAUACGGCAAGUGAUAGCUUUAUCGCGCAGCAACUGCUAACGUAUUAACGGUGCGCAGUACUCGUUCGGAUAUCUUGUUAGGUGUGGCCGCCUUCAGCCAUUAAAGGAGACUUCAAAUCAAGGAUGCUGAACCGAAAAUAGCUGAAAGAGAGGCGUGGUAUCAACGGUCGUUUACGCGACUGCGCUGCUGCUCUUAGCCAUUAUUCGAGUGCUCCGGGGACGUACAUACUCAGAAUAAACAUCCCGGCAUUGCUUCUCUCGCCACAUUCCGGCAGGGAGAUGUUGCACUUCAGAUAUCCUUAUCUAACCAAUUCGCACGAGCUAUCUGGCAAUAGAUAACAUGAAACGCUACGAGAAUGUAUCUCGAAAUGCGAGAAUUUUGCGAUAUCUAGCUUAAUAUAUAUAAUUAUUACUCGUAGCUAAACCCAUGUACGAGUACAUGUGUGCGUGGAAUCUUUACGGAAAGCAGCACGCCGGCGUGCAGGCUGCUCGUGCAAGCGCAAGGCUUAAUCACACAGCAAUACAGAAAACGUGAAGUUCGUUUAUCUCUUUAUACAAAUACUGCCUAUUUAUUCCGCUUAUGGGUAUUUUGUUCUCGAGCCCGCAUUUUGUAAAGUUAAGGCUUGCCGAUACAGCU